rnacentral:rRNA from 1 species
UACGGGGGGGGCAAGCGUUGUUCGGAAUUACUGGGCGUAAAGGGCUCGUAGCGGCCGCCUAAGUCAGACGUGAAAUCCCUCGGCUCAACCGGGGAACUGCGUCUGAUACUGGGUGGCUUGAAUCCGGGAGAGGGAUGCGGAAUUCCAGGUGUAGCGGUGAAAUGCGUAGAGAUGUGGAGGAACACCAGUGGCGAAGGCGACUCUUUGGCCUGUAACUGACGCUGAGGCGCGAAAGGCGUGGGGAGCAAACAGG